rnacentral:lncRNA from 1 species
AAAAAGUUGCAGAUAAAUGGUGGAAGAAGAAGACAAAUAGGGGAAAAGGUGAGGCGAUGGUGGAAGGAAAAAGAAGAGAAAGGAUUUGGGCCGCCGGUUUGGGUCAGGGGUUUGUGUAGGAUUUUUUAAUUUUUGUAUUUUGAUUUUUGAUUUUGAUCUUUGUUUUUUUAAAAUUCUAAUUUUUUUAAUUCUUUUAGUUUUUUUUACCUAAUUUUAAUUAUUGUAAUAUUUAUAAUUUUAUAAUUUAUAUUUUCUUUUAAUUAUUGUAACAUUGAAAUUUAUUUUUAAUGAAAAAU